rnacentral:lncRNA from 1 species
UAGGGCUAAUUGUCGAUGAUGGCUGGGAUGCGGCAAAUGCUCCUCUAGUACCUGGAGUAGUUGGACUUGAUGUUCUAGCACUUACUGGUUUAGAGUAACUGAAGCUUAUCAUAGAUGAGGACAAGAAAAGAAUUGGCUUUGGUGGAUAUUGUUAGAGAAGUGCAUAUUUGUCUUUAAGAUAUUGUUUCUUUAGAUCUGCUGUGACAAUUUUGUACGUGAUUAUAUGUUGUUACUGUAGUUAGUAAUGAAAAUUUUU